UACGGGGGAGCAAGCGUUGUUCGGAUUUACUGGGCGUAAAGGGCGCGUAGGCGGCCAGCACAAGUCAGUUGUGAAAUCUCCGAGCUUAACUCGGAAAGGUCAACUGAUACUGUGCGGCUAGAGUGCGGAAGGGGCAACUGGAAUUCUUGGUGUAGCGGUGAAAUGCGUAGAUAUCGAGAGGAACACCUGCGGCGAAGGCGGGUUGCUGGGCUGACACUGACGCUGAUGCGCGAAAGCUAGGGGAGCGAACGGG
rnacentral:rRNA from 1 species